rnacentral:lncRNA from 9 species
AAGCUCUGAAUGAUUAGAGGUUGUUUUCUCAACUCAGCGGAGCUUUCCAGCGACCAAAUAACUGAGGUAUGCUCUCAAAAGGGUUGGCAGGUUAACCUAGUAACUUGAGUUCCCCUUCUAUCACUCAAGGCUCUGUGACCUUGGUGAGUCAUUUAACCUGACAGGCCUUUAGCUGCUUCACUUGUAAAUGUGGAAGGGAGGCUAAUCUGUAGGCUCCCAUGAGCUUUAAUUCUGUAGUUUUCCAACUCCUUUUCUAGGAGGGACAGUCAGUGUGGAUACAUGGGUGAUUUCAGCCUUACUAUGGGCCUGGCUUUGUGAUGUCACAAACAAGCCUUGACAGCCUAGGUGGUCUGACAAGCAGGGUCUGGCCUUGGCAUCUGAAGACUCACCAAGGUUUUAGCUUCUUUGACAUCCCACUUCUCUCUGCCUGUCGAAUGACCAGAACUCAUGCAAAUUCAAAUUGGAUGACUGGGCUUCUCAAGAUUGGCAGCAACCGCAGUGAAACCAUCUCCUGUAGACAGUCCAGGCAUGGCUUUAAUAAAGAAUGGACGAUUGUGGGAGUUCCUGUCGUGGCACAAUGGUUAACGAAUCCGACUAGGAACCAUGAGGUUUCGGGUUCGAUCCCUGGCCUUGCUCAGUGGGUUAAGGAUCUGGCGUUGCCAUGAGCUGUGGUGUGGGCCGCAGACGCAGCUCGGAUCCCGCGUUGCUGUGGCUCUGGCAUAGGCCAGUGGCUACAGCUCUGAUUAGAUCCCUAGCCUGGGAACCUCCAUAUGCCGCAGGAGCGGCCCUAGAAAAGACAAAAAAAAAAAAGAAGAAGAAUGGACGAUUGUGGAUGAGUCCUUGGAGACAGGAGCACAAAAUGUCACGUGUAUUAGUUUUAAUCACCUGAUUCAUUUUUCCACUAGGGUUUUCACAAUGGUAACAUCUUCACAUUUAAAAUUCUGAAGGAAGCACAAGCCAGUGGGGAGCCAGGGGUCAAGAAAAAGAUAUAGAGCAAGGCAAAUGACAAGUCAAGUUCAGGCAGUGGUGAUGUGUCAUAUUGUAACAAUGGGACAGGGAAGUUGGGUGGGGAGGGUACU